rnacentral:lncRNA from 1 species
ACUAUUUUUUAAAUUUUCCUGUAAAAUUAUUUCUCAGAAACAUCAGAGUAACUUACAAAUGGUUUGUUUUGAGUUAGAACAAAUUACACCUUAGAAACUAAAUGUAUAGUGUAAUGCUGAAGAUUAUAUAGUUAAUAAUUUAGAUAACUAAACACCUAAAAAAAAUUUUAAAUGUGAAGAUGAUUAUUUGUAAAGUGAUUCUAGGUUGGGACUUGCAUGAUCUGUAAUUUUCACAUUUUGAAAAUGAUAUAGUAGAAAAAAUAAAGAAUUUUUAGAGUAAAUUUCAAUUGAAAAAAAAAGUUCCAGAAUUAAUCUGGACAAGGCAAAACUCUAAAAUCUGAAGUAUUUUCAAAUGUUUUCUCAAACUCAAAGAUUUAUAUAACCAAUACUUUUCCUUAAAAAAAUUGGGAGAAACUGAUUCAUUAAAUUUUCAACUAAGUCAGGAAUAAGAAUUUUAAUCUAUCUGGUAAACUUUACACAUGAUUGUUAAAGUAGUAGACAAACAUGAUUCUUUGUAUUGCAGUUAUAUCCUUUAUUUCACUGCUUCACUUGAGUGGAACUUAAAAUAUUCAUUUAUUAUUACUAUUCUGGGGAGAGGGAGAAAUGAGACAUUUAGUGGAAAGAGUCUUUGGUAAUUGGUGUGUGUACAUAACUAUUUGCUGACGGGCCACAGAAAACAAAGAAGAUAGGCAUUUGUCUGUGGGGGGAGGGGUGUGGAAAGGCUGAGAAGAGUUGGGCAUUUAAACUUGUUUCUUGGUUGUAACUCAUUUAUCCUGCAGGUUUCCUUGCUAAAGGUGGAGGGAAGGUGGUAGAGAGAAUGUAUUAACUAAUGGAAUAAAAUGGGACAGUAAUACAGGCAUGAAAUCCCACUGGAAAGAGCAAUAAGAACCUACUCUCCUCGCUCAAAUAAUCGGAAAGCAAAGCACAUGCUGAGAAAAUUACAAUAUACAAAAGUUAAGCGGGAUCCCUGGGUGGCGCAGCGGUUUGGUGCCUGCCUUUGGCCCAGGGCACGAUCCUGGAGACCUGGGAUCGAAUCCCACGUCGGGCUCCCAGUGCAUGGAGCCUGCUUCUCCCUCUGCCUCUGUCUCUGCCUCUCUCUCUCUCUGUGUGACUAUCAUAAAUAAAUAAAAAUUUAAAAAAAAAAUUUAAAAAAAAAAAAAAAAAAAAGUUAAGCCACAGAUUAUUAAUUUUCUUGUUAAAAUCUAAUAUCUAUGGGUUAAAAUAUUGUUCUUUUCCUUCCAAUUUUCCCAUGAAAGUUUGAAAUACAACCUAUUAAAAGCCAACAGACUUAAUGGCAUUUACAAGUACGUAAAACAGGUUUUGCUGAUUUUUUUAAAUAAUCUUACAGAUAAAUUAAGGAUAUCAGAGAGUUUGAUUUUAUGUAUAUAUAACUGAUUAGAGGUGGAAUAUUCAAACAAAUUCAUUUUGAAAACAAUACAAUUCAAGUAACUUGCCACAGAGUGGCCUUAUCAGAGUGACUAUGCAAUGUAAUAUGAAGUUGCAAGCUUUGGAUUUUGAAUUGAGCCAUGGAUAUACAAAUAUAAAUAUGCAAAUAAAUUACUGUUUUCAAAAAUCAAACUAGGGUGGAUAUAAAGUUAAGAAAGCAGAGUCUGUGGUGUAAAGGGAAGUCAAAGUAUUUAAAGCACUUGUAACCGGAAAAGCCUGUAUGAACCAGAAGAUAUCUAGAUUCACUAUAGUAAAUAGUUAACAUUUCUCUAAAAUAUGACUUCAGUAGUUAAUAUUUUGUCUUUGGAGGCAUAUACUGUUACCACUCUUUAUAAAAUGGAAAGACAAAGAGAUUUAGGCAAAGUAUACUGAGUCUAGCACUAGAAGACUCAAUGUGGAAAAUAUCUCCCCCUUUUUAUAUAUAUUCCAAAUUCUUGGAUCCCUUGUAUAAAUAAGUUUGGAUUUUUAUUGUAUAUUUAAUUAGGGAAUUGUACAGAGUAUCUUCUCUUUCAUAUGACUUUCAGUAGAACCUGUUUCAUAAUAAGACAAUUCUAUAAUUUUAAGGCUGGAAGAACUAUUUAGGAUCUAUUAGUUUCCCAUUUUAUAGUUGAGGAAAUUGAGGUCAGGGAAGGUCCAAUGCAGGUUCAGAGGCAGGGCUGUGGUGUGGCUAUCUUUGAAUGAAACCAUGUACCAAGUCCUGAGGGGGAGAUAGAGCAAAUACUUUUUUUUUCCUUAUUUUUGGUGAUAAGAAAACAGACCCAAGGUGAGGUUUGCCCAGACCCAAUACCAUUACUUUUUUUUGUUUUAAAGAACACCUACAGGGACGCCUGGGUGGCUCAGUGGUUGAGCAUCUGCUCCCCGCCUCGGGCGUGAUCCCGGAGUUCGGGGAUCGAGUCCUACAUCAGGCUCCCUCCGGAGCCUGCUUCUCCCCUUCUCCCCUGCCUAUGUCUCUGCCUCUCUUUGUGUGACUCUCAGGAAUGAAUAGGUAAAAUCUUUAAAACAAAACUAACAAACAAAAAAAAAAAACACCACGUAUAAUUAUCCUCAUGAAUGGUUCUGCAAAUCAUUGAAAGCUAAAGGCAAAAGCCUUGAGAGAAGAGACUUUGUUGGGCAAAGUGAUGGUUCAUUUCAGGAACUCUGCUCAGAAUCUCAAGCUAUCCUAAACUGAUAAAAUCA